GUCCACGCCGUAAACGAUGGAUACUAGGUGUAGGAGGUAUCGACCCCUUCUGUGCCGGAGCUAACACAAUAAGUAUCCCGCCUGGGAAGUACGAUCGCAAGAUUAAAACUCAAAGGAAUUGACGGGGGCCCGGCACAAGCGGUGGAGUAUGUGGUUUUAAUUCGACGCAACGCGAAGAACCUUACCAAGCCUUGACAUUGAUCGCAAUUUCCAAGAAAUUGGAAGUUCUCCUUCGGGAGACGAGAAACAGGUGGUGCACGGCUGUCGU
rnacentral:rRNA from 1 species